ensembl:lncRNA
ACUGGGAUCAGCAGUGUGUGUUUAGGGUUUUUAAUCUUAAAAGCUAUAGCAAGAGUCAACUUUCUUCAUUUAUUUCUUUUCUAUUAUUUUUGCUAAUAAUUGGAGAAAAAUAAAGAUUCUUCAUUACGCUCUGAGAUUUUAUAAAGUCGCAUUAACUUCAAAAGAAAAAGUUACAACUUAUCGCCAGGUGAGUUGGUGUGGAUAGCCCCACGGGAAUGUCGGAUUGACCCACUUGUUUAAUCCCUGUAGUGCCCCCUAGUGUGUGGACGUGAAUUUCUGAAAUUAAAAAUGUAUAAGUGAAUAACUCUAUUGAGUAAUUUACAAUGUCUUUAAAACCUAACUACACCCAACCAUCACAGGAACUGGGAUGAUUUUUCUUUGUACAGUUUCGGUCAGAGGCUCUCUCCCUGCGCAGGUAUAAACAUUUAUAGAUGCAUUUGAGUGACAACAUGUUUGCUGAUAUUCUUCACCAAGAUCUUCUAUAAAUAUUUAUAACAUUUAUUUGUUUCGACAGUAAUCUGAUAGUAGGAUACCCCUGCUCGAAAGAUUAGUUUGUGUUUCUCUAAUGUUUACUGUUAUAACAUUAAAUAGAAGGUGUGAAAGGCACCACACAGGUGAUUCAGU